UACGUAGGGUGCAAGCGUUGUCCGGAAUUAUUGGGCGUAAAGAGCUCGUAGGCGGCCUGUCGCGUCGGUUGUGAAAGCCCGGGGCUUAACCCCGGGUCUGCAGUCGAUACGGGCAGGCUAGAGUUCGGUAGGGGAGAUCGGAAUUCCUGGUGUAGCGGUGAAAUGCGCAGAUAUCAGGAGGAACACCGGUGGCGAAGGCGGAUCUCUGGGCCGAUACUGACGCUGAGGAGCGAAAGCGUGGGGAGCGAACAGG
rnacentral:rRNA from 1 species